CCGCCCGCUUCCGCCUCUGCGAGGAGCGCUCCGGUCGCUCAGCCGCGCUCCCCACGGCGCUCAGUCGGGCGAAGCCCUAACGGGUCAUAACGGGGCUUUCGUCGGGACGUGAUCGUCCGCCCUUGCCCGGGCCGAGCUCUGCGUGCUCGGAGGUCUCUAGCACAGGAAAACAAAAGCGUGUUCGUACAGAAUGUAAACUGACACUUCUGUUAGCACAGCAAACCAGUGAUCAGUAUCCAUGCCAGAAUUUCAGGUGCAAAUGGAGUAUUUUCCAUGGACCUGCUACAAGCCAUGCACUACAGACUCAAUCCAUGGACUGCAAGUUAGCAUUUGGCAUUGUACUAAAGCUCCCAGUCUGUUCUGCAGUGGGGGCCAAGCUUCAUGGAAAAUCCUCCCUCAUGCUUGUGUCUACAUAUUUGCCAUCCUAU